rnacentral:rRNA from 1 species
AAAGGUAAGCUACGAAGAGCGAAUGGUGGAUGCCUUGACUGGUAAAGGCGAUGAAGGACGUACUAGACUGCGAUAAGCUACGGGGAGCUGUCAAGAAGCUUUGAUCCGUAGAUUUCCGAAUGGGGCAACCCAAUGUAUAGAGAUAUACAUUACCUAUAGUAGGAGCGAACGAGGGGAAUUGAAACAUCUUAGUACCCUCAGGAAAAGAAAUCAAUAGAGAUUGCGUCAGUAGCGGCGA